rnacentral:rRNA from 1 species
UGAGCAAUCUGCCCUUCUCUUUGGAAUAAGCGUUGGAAACGACGUCUAAUGCCGAAUACGACCUCCUUUCGCAUGAUCGGAGGUGGAAAGUUCCGGCGGUGGAGGAUGAGCUCGCGGCCUAUCAGCUUGUUGGUGAGGUAACGGCCCACAAGGCAACGACGGGUAGCCGGCCUGAGAGGGUGACCGGCCACACUGGGACUGAGACACGGCCCAGACCUCCGUACGGGGAGCAG